AGAGUUUGAUCCUGGCUCAGGAUGAACGCUAGCGGCAGGCCUAAUACAUGCAAGUUGAACGAGAUUAGAGAGCUUGCUCUCUAUGAAAGUGGCGCACGGGUGCGUAACGCGUAUGCAAUCUACCUUAAUCAGGGGGAUAGCCCGGAGAAAUCCGGAUUAAUACCGCAUAACAUUAUUGAAUGGCAUCAUUUAAUAAUCAAACAUUUAUGGGAUUAAGAUGAGCAUGCGUGACAUUAGUUAGUUGGUGAGGUAACGGCUCACCAAGACUACGAUGUCUAGGGGAUCUGAGAGGAUGACCCCCCACACUGGUACUGAGACACGGACCAGACUCCUACGGGAGGCAGCAGUAAGGAAUAUUGGUCAAUGGGCGCAAGCCUGAACCAGCCAUGCCGCGUGCAGGAAGACGGCCCUACGGGUUGUAAACUGCUUUUAUUCGGGAAUAAACCUUUCUACGUGUAGAGAGCUGAAUGUACCGAAGGAAUAAGGAUCGGCUAACUCCGUGCCAGCAGCCGCGGUAAUACGGAGGAUCCAAGCGUUAUCCGGAUUUAUUGGGUUUAAAGGGUGCGUAGGCGGCUUAUUAAGUCAGGGGUGAAAGACGGUGGCUCAACCAUCGCAGUGCCUUUGAUACUGAUGAGCUUGAAUACACUUGAGGUAGGCGGAAUGUGACAAGUAGCGGUGAAAUGCAUAGAUAUGUCACAGAACACCAAUUGCGAAGGCAGCUUACUAAGGUGUUAUUGACGCUGAGGCACGAAAGCGUGGGGAUCAAACAGGAUUAGAUACCCCCGUAGUCC
rnacentral:rRNA from 1 species